rnacentral:rRNA from 1 species
ACUUGGGGGUGCUGGUGUACUUAAGACGUGCAGGUCGGACAAAGGGGGCCGGCAGCAUGUUCGGCCUGAAUUAUUGACGAACGGGCGAGAAACUCCUGGGCAAUGGGCCGUGGACUCUGGGAUAACUUCGAGAAAUCGAUGCUAAUACCGGAUACGACCCUUCCAGGCAUCUGGUGAGGGUGGAAAGAACUUUGGUCAGGGAUGAGCUCGCGGCCUAUCAGCUAGUUGGUGAGGUAAUGGCUCACCAAGGCGACGACGGGUAGCCGGCCUGAGAGGGUGACCGGCCACACUGGGACUGAGACACGGCCCAGACUCCUACGGGAGGCAGCAGUGGGGAAUAUUGCACAAUGGGCGCAAGCCUGAUGCAGCGACGCCGCGUGAGGGACGAAGGCCUUCGGGUUGUAAACCUCUU